UCUAGUAUGGCAGAUUAGUGCAAUGGGUUUAAAUUCCAUCUAUAAUAUAUGAAUAUUUUCUAGAA
rnacentral:tRNA from 1 species